GGAGAGGAAGCUUUAUCAUUUCCAGGACACUGUCCAGAGGAGUCACUCAAACUCAGGCAUUUCUUCCUCUGAGGUCCACUUGCCAUGACUGUCGGAGGAAGUGAGUGUCUCGGAGGUGGCUAUGAGGUGGGACCCUUUGCAUCUCUGUGGUCAUUCACUGAUCCUUUUAUGCCGGGUGACUCCUCGAAACACCAUCACGUUCUUCCAAUUCUAGUGAGUGUGUGUUGGGCAUUUAGGGAGAAUCUUCUGAGCUGUAGCAAA
ensembl:misc_RNA